rnacentral:rRNA from 1 species
CGCGGCCUAUCAGCUUGUUGGUGGGGUAAUGGCCUACCAAGGCGUCGAUGGGUAGCCGGCCUGAGAGGGUGUACGGCCACAUUGGGACUGAGAUACGGCCCAGACUCCUACGGGAGGCAGCAGUGGGGAAUAUUGCACAAUGGGCGCAAGCCUGAUGCAGCGACGCCGCGUGGGGGAUGACGGCCUUCGGGUUGUAAACUCCUUUCGCCAAGGACGAAGCUUUAAGUGACGGUACUUGGAGAAGAAGCACCGGCUAACUACGUGCCAGCAGCCGCGGUAAUACGUAGGGUGCGAGCGUUGUCCGGAAUUACUGGGCGUAAAGAGCUCGUAGGUGGUUUGUCGCGUCGUUUGUGUAAGUCCGUAGCUUAACUGCGGGACUGCAGGCGAUACGGGCAUAACUUGAGUGCUGUAGGGGAGACUGGAAUUCCUGGUGUAGCGGUGAAAUGCGCAGAUAUCAGGAGGAACACCGAUGGCGAAGGCAGGUCUCUGGGCAGUAACUGACGCUGAGGAGCGAAAGCAUGGGGAGCGAACAGGAUUAGAUACCCUGGCAGUCCAUGCCGUAAACGGUGGGCGCUAGGUGUGAGUCCCUUCCACGGGGUUCGUGCCGUAGCUAACGCAUUAAGCGCCCCGCCUGGGGAGUACGG